ACGCUAUACGCUGCGUCCAAUCAGAAAACUCAUUUAGUACGUUAUAAGGAGACACUCGCUGGAUUGGUGUUUAAAUGAACGAGGAUUCUUACACGAAUGCAUCAAAGUAGAACUCUCGGGUAUCAACAACUCUAUCUAGAUUAUGUUUCGUCUGUUUUCUUCGACUUCGCAACGUUCGUGUUUCGAAAAUUUUUAUAAAUUUUAAGUUGAAAAUCUUGAUUACGUGCGCGCGUGCGCGUGAUGCUAUUACGAGCAAUGGAUUUUUUUCAACUGGAUUUUCGGAUUUUAUUAACACUGGGAUAUAUAUGGCUUCUGCUGCUCUAUGAAAACGACGCUUUUGAGUGCUUUACGUGUAAAGCAAAUUCGUCAGAAGAAUGUCAACUGGAAGGCAAACCACAAUUUUGUGACAAAGGAACUAAUAGAUGUUUUACAGAGACCCGUUACCAUGGCGGCACGUACAAAAUUAAAAAGAUAGUAAAAAAUUGCAUUCUCGAACCUUCCUGUUACCGAAAGAAUAGAAAAGAACAAACCAAUUGCGAACAGAAGGAAAAGGAUUUCGAUUGCUUUGAAUGCUGUGACAAAGAACUUUGUAACAAAGAUGCUGGAACGGCGCAACUAUUGUCCAGUCAUAUCAUCACGCUGGCCAUGCUAUUUUUCGCUAUUCUCUUUCCUUUACAUGUAGUGCGGUGAACUCAGGAAUCGAAUCAAACAACAUUUAUACACUUAGGCCUAUUAUUGUUUUAAACGUUUCCUAGAGAGACAAUCUACAUUGUUUCGGACGUCGAAUGAUUCGACCAUGUAUCUACAGGCGAUUUCAUCAAAAGAAUAAUAUUGAUCGCUAUAAAUGCAAAUAAUUUAAUUCAUACUUUUUGAUUUCGCAAUACGUUUGGUCAUGUACCUUCCGUUGAAUACAAUCUGGCAAGACGACGUGCCAAGUUCGAGAUCACGUAGAGAAGCGCAGGCGCAUACUCAUGCAUGUCUUUAUAAGGGAAAAGUUGUCAUUUGCUCCCAUUAUGACAGAGCAAUAGAAACGCAAUGAACUGAAAUGAAUGGCGAGCGCUUCAAUCUAAGUUGUAAAUAUACAAAUAUGUAUCCCUUUGUUUAAAAGUUUAUGAUGUCUUUUCUCAUUUAGGUGCACCGUUUGACAUUUUCAAUCAUUGUAUAAACAGUGAUAAACCACAAAUAAAAUAUAAAAUAGAAAUGCUGUUUCGAGUGCCAUUAGGCCUAUGCAAAUUAUAAUGUAUUCGAUGUGAAUAUAUUUAAGAUAAGUUUCCAUAAAAUAAUAUUGUAUGCUUUGAAAUGUCUAACUUAUUAGCGAGUGUCUAUCUAAAAAUUAAUGUACGAUAAUCCAUAAGAAAGUUCCUCUAAAAAAAACCCUAUAAAUUCCACACUAGUAUUAUAUUAUUUUGAUCUAUCACUGAUCAAAUAUUAUAUCGUGGCCAAAAGGCAAAUUUCAUGUCAUUUACAAUAGAAUUAUAUCCUCCUUUAGGACUACUUUAUAUAAGGCCUAUUGACUAUUUUAUAUAAGGCCUAUUGACUAUUUUAUAUAAGGCCUAUUGACUACUUUAUAUAAGGCCUAUUUGAUUUUCUGAUUUGUUUCAUUCUCAUUGAGUAACUUGCCGCAAUACCACUUCGGCACGUAUUUCAAAUCUAGGUCUAGUUCUGUGAUGGUCUAUAUACUCACAAUGCUCUGUCCUUCAACUUAUGUUAAAGUGUUCUAAGACAGGUAUCUGUGAAAUUCUCUUGUACUUCAUUAAACGCAUCAGGUUAAGUCAUAGCCAGCUAACUACACUUAGUAACGUUACAGUUUGGUGUUCAAAACGUUAUGUUGUAGAAGUCCAAAUACGUAUUUAUAACGUAAUUUCAGACCUCCCAAGUUCCCAGAAAUUUGUGGGUUUCCCAGAUUUUUAAGGAUCAAAUCGCUGCUUCCCAGAAUUUUUACAGUUAUCCCAGAAAAUAUAAAAUUCUCAUUGUGAAUAUUAAAAUGGCUCCUAUGUGUAUAUUUUAAAAAAUCAAACAACAGUUUUUUUUUUAAUAUUUUGUUACUUAACUAUUUAAACAACUCUAUGCCUUUGCAUCACCAUCUAAGUUUAAUAAAACCUGAAAAUGACUUAUUUUGCUUAUUGUUUCCCACUUACAAAAACCACUGUUUCUGUUUAAUAUGUGUAUGGCUUUUGGUAACGGCAUGAAACACGUUGAAUUAACAUAAAUCAUAUGUUAAUCAAUAAACCAAAAACAGUACCCAGAAAUUACACUAAACGACAAAUUACCCAGAAAUUUCACUCCACCAAUUUGGGACCUUCGUAAUUUCCAACUAAAUAACGUUGUUAACGCUACUGCAACGUUGUGCUAACGUCAUUUUUUUACAAACAACCUGACUCUCACAACGUUCGCGAACGUUACGGUAUGUAAUAACGUUUUGUGUUCGUCACAUAAAACUUAAGCCUGGUUUAAAAGUCGCUACACGUCACUACAGUGUUUCCACUGCUGCGUCGCUACCACUAAUCUCUACUAUAAUAGGUGGAUUGCUCAUUGGCUGGUUUUAGUGAGGCGACCGACACCAUGUUGGGGGACCUAAGUGUUAGACAAGUUUCUUUUGGCAUUUAUUUAAAUUAUUGUUAAAAAUAACGAUUCUUGCAAUAAUAAAUUUGAAUUUAACGUAAUGAUUAUUAUCAUCUAUCUACUUGAUGUGACUUUUUAUGCAGUCAAGUUAUUUGCGUUGUUAGGAUCGACGUCACUAUAACAACGCGACUUCGCUCGUGCUUUUGAAAACUGCAUAAAAAAUCCUACGUUAAAUUUAAAUUUAUUAUUGAAAGUGUUAGGCACUUAGGCCCUCCAACAUGGCGUCGGAGCCUCACCUUUUUUUUCUGUAUCAGGAUUGGCCGAUGGACAAUCCAGCUAUUAUAGUAGAGGUCAGUGGUCGCUACACAUUUUGUAACUGAUCCCCGACGCAAUUGGGAUGGCUCCCCGAUUCCAGCUCCACCGUCAGUUGUCAGUGAGUGUAGCGAUUGCAUGGAAACCAGGCUUUAACUGUGUGAACAGAGCAUUAAAGCCUGUUUACACUAUGAUGAUAACGAUCAACGAUAGAAAGAAAAAAGCAAUUGUUCAUAUAUAUAGAAAAUAAAAGAAAUAAGAGAAGUUUUCACACUAGUAAGAUUCGAUAACGAUUUAUCGUGUAUACAAAAACAAUUAUUUGACAAAUCAAAUCAAAUGACGUCAUAAUCAUGGGAAAACGAUAAAUUCAUAGUUGUAAAAACGAUUUUAUCAUUUUCCCAUGAUUAUGACCUCAUUUGAUUUGAUUUGUGAAAUUAUUUUUAGAGUGAAGUUAUUUUUAGUCCGGAGGCUGAUAUUUGCUGAUAGUUAUCAACCAAAAUAUCAUAGGCCGACGUUUUGGUUGUAAAAUUAGCAUAUACUGUACCAUUAAUCUCAGCUCUACUUAAUUACAUUGUACAUAAUAAUAUUGACAUACGAAGAUACAAGGCACAAUUAAUGAGGUCAAUAGAAACAAUUAAAUAAUAAAUCAAUUAUUCCGAAAUGAUGCACUUUUGGAGAGAUCAUAUGAAGACAAUUAAUUACUACGUAAGAAACAUUUAUUAAUAUUUAAAGUUUCUCUCAGGUCUCAUUAUACAUAGCAUGCAGACGGUCAGAGUGUAGGAUAGGUCUAAGUUAUCUUAAUCGAUCAAAAUAAGGUUUUAAGUAGGUCAUACGGUACGAUGUACAUUAUUAUGCGCUCGGUUUCACCAAAGCGCAAUAUUUCAAACUGGUUUUACGUUACAAACUGUCUCACCAGCAGUAUAGAUUUUUCUCAGCUAAUUAAAUCUCGUUCUGUUAGAAUGUAUUUGUAUGUAUA